rnacentral:rRNA from 1 species
ACGAACGCUGGCGGCGUGCUUAACCCAUGCAAGUCGUACGGUAAGGCCCUUUCGGGGGUACACGAGUGGCGAACGGGUGAGUAACACGUGAGUAACCUGCCCACAACUUUGGGAUAACGCUAGGAAACUGGUGCUAAUACUGGAUAUGUGCUCCUGCUGCAUGGUGGGGGUUGGAAAGCUCCGGCGGUUGUGGAUGGACUCGCGGCCUAUCAGCUUGUUGGUGGGGUAGUGGCCUACCAAGGCGGCGACGGGUAGCCGGCCUGAGAGGGUGACCGGCCACAUUGGGACUGAGAUACGGCCCAGACUCCUACGGGAGGCAGCAGUGGGGAAUAUUGCACAAUGGGCGCAAGCCUGAUGCAGCAACGCCGCGGGCGGGAUGACGGCCUUCGGGUUGUAAACCGCUUUCAGCAGGGACGAAGCUUUUUGUGACGGUACCUGCAGAAGAAGCACCGGCUAACUACGUG